rnacentral:sRNA from 21 species
CGGGCAGGCCUUUCAGGCAUCCUCUCCCAAACUUUUCCGGCCCGGUUGGCUCGUCCAGCCGGGCCUUUUUCUUGUCCGCG